rnacentral:lncRNA from 1 species
GUUGAGCGCCCUAUGGAUCCGCGGUAGCAUUUAAUUUUCGGAUCACCGAGAAGAGAAAAUAGGGUUCUAAGAGGGGGGAGCGGAGAAUGUGGGGGAGAGAAAGAGAUAGAGAGAGAGAGAGGACGGUCAAGCGGUGCAGAGUACAUAUAGUUAGUUAAUUCGGAUUCGGCAAAAAUUCGGUACGGGUAUAAUUCGGAUAAAAUUCGUCUUCUAAUUAUUAAAUUCGUUGAAAAAUACGGCUAAAAAACGGAUUCGGUUAUUAUUCGGAUACGUGAUUUAUACGGGUAUUAUACGUUUAUCAAUUAAAAAUUCGGGAUCAAAAAUUCGGCUAUAUAAUAAAUAUAUAAUAAUUAAUAUACUAUAUAUUAUUAUUAUUAUUAUUAUUAUUAUUAUUAUUAUUAUUAUUUAUAAAUUAAAUAUAUUUUAAAUUAUAAUAAAUAUAUAUUAAUAAUA